UACAGAGACUGCAAGCGUUAUUCGGAUUCACUGGGCGUAAAGGGUGCGCAGGCGGCCGGGUGUGUCAGAUGUGAAAUCCCCGGGCUUAACCUGGGAACUGCACUUGAAACUACGAUGCUGGAGUAUGGCAGAGGGAGGUGGAAUUCCACGUGUAGCGGUGAAAUGCGUAGAGAUGUGGAGGAACACCGAUGGCGAAGGCAGCCUCCUGGGCCAAUACUGACGCUCAUGCACGAAAGCGUGGGGAGCAAACAGG
rnacentral:rRNA from 1 species